GAAGGACGUCGCUAACAUACUAAAAUGAAACUUCCGGGGCGAACAUAUUCAGUCUGCGGGAAAUGACAAACUGUCUGGCUGACUAAAUGCUGCAGCUACGGGGGUUCCCUCUGCAGCCUCCCUGGCAAGACCCACCUGUCGUUGGUUCUCUGCCACUAACGACAAAUCCGAGCAGAGUUACAAUUGGCUCAUAAACCUGAUGAACUGACUACACAGAGUGUGGUGCGUUUGUUUGAAGGUCUACUUUUCCGCUGUCAAAAAACCUCUAAAAUCGGUGAUAUGGUGAGCUCGUCCAUAUUCCAUGUUAUUCACAAAUUAGGAGAUAAUUCGGACAUUAGAUGUAUCCAGUAAAAACAGAUAACAUAAGAGCUCUGUAACUGUGUGUUUUAAUUGAUUUUCUUUUUAUUGAAUUGAAUGUUUUGACUUAUUGUUUUUUCUUUUUUUAAAAGGAUCAAACACUUAUGUAUUAAAUGAGUGAAAUAAUUAUUAUUUUAGUGCAGCAGAUGUGUCAGACAGGCUGAGGAGAAAAUAGGUUUCAAUAUGUUCAGUUGAGAGGAUAUGAAGUAAUGUAGGAGUCUGUAGCGACGGCUGGAAAGAGAUAGCAGCUGCUGUCUGCAGGAAAUCUGCCGAGAAGAAAGAUGAGGUGGCCCGUCUGUGGCUCAGAAGAAGAGAAACAAGACAGUUUGGUUCAGCCGACCAGCUGACUGGGGUAAAGGCAAUAAGGUACUUUAUGCUGUUGUCCAGUAAAGGGAACUUUCCAAAAUUUUGCCACCUCCCAACAGCUCUCCCAACACAUAAAAGAAAGAUGAUUUGAGUUUCAGUGCUCAGUUUUCAUCUCAGAAGACACGCAACACAGAGCAGAAGAAAGAAGACUCGAGACGGAAAGAAGAUCAACUGGCCAAAGGAUGAACACGGCUUACGAUCUACAAAUUCUGUCAAAAAGAAUCGCUGUAGUUUUGAACUGGUUGAUGAGAAGAACCUGGAUGUUCCAGAGAUGGGAAUCGCACCCACGGGAUGUCAGUUCUGAAGCUGAAACAACUCGUCCAGCAGAAGAGACGGACCUCAGACACUGGCAUCAAAGC